rnacentral:rRNA from 1 species
AGUUCGUAACCGUAAGGAGCGACCUAAGGCAAAACCGGUGACUGGGGCUAAGUCGUAACAAGGUAGCCGUACCGGAAGGUGUGGCUGGAACACCUCCUUU